rnacentral:snRNA from 1 species
GGAUGUGAGGGCCAUCUGGCUGCGACAUCUGUCACCCCAUUGAUCGCCAGGGUUGAUUCGGCUGAUCUGGCUAGCUAGGCGGGUGUCCCCUUCCUCCCUCACCGCUCCAUGUGCGUCCCUCCCGAAGCUGCGCGCUCUGUGGAAGAGGACGACCUUCCCCAAUAGAGGAGGACCGUUCUUCGGUCAAGGGUAUACGAGUAGCUGCGCUCCCCUGCUAGAACCUCCAAACAAGCUCUCAAGAAAAUGAAUAACUGUAAAUAUGCAUAGCAAUAGGUAUGUUUUCAUAUUAAAUUAGGUUUAGUU